CUUAACACAUGCAAGUCGAACGAUGAUCUCCAGCUUGCUGGGGGGAUUAGUGGCGAACGGGUGAGUAACACGUGAGUAACCUGCCCUUGACUCUGGGAUAAGCCUGGGAAACUGGGUCUAAUACUGGAUACGACUCUUCACCGCAUGGUGGGGGGUGGAAAGCUUUUGUGGUUUUGGAUGGACUCGCGGCCUAUCAGCUUGUUGGUGGGGUAAUGGCCUACCAAGGCGACGACGGGUAGCCGGCCUGAGAGGGUGGACGGCCACACUGGGACUGAGACACGGCCCAGACUCCUACGGGAGGCAGCAGUGGGGAAUAUUGCACAAUGGGCGCAAGCCUGAUGCAGCGACGCCGCGUGAGGGAUGAAGGCCUUCGGGUUGUAAACCUCUUUCAGUAGGGAAGAAGCGAAAGUGACGGUACCUGCAGAAGAAGCGCCGGCUAACUACGUGCCAGCAGCCGCGGUAAUACGUAGGGCGCAAGCGUUAUCCGGAAUUAUUGGGCGUAAAGAGCUCGUAGGCGGUUUGUCGCGUCUGCCGUGAAAGUCCGGGGCUUAACUCCGGAUCUGCGGUGGGUACGGGCAGACUUGAGUGAUGUAGGGGAGA
rnacentral:rRNA from 1 species